GAUGAACGCUGGCGGCGUGCCUAAUACAUGCAAGUCGAGCGAACAGACGAGGAUCUUGCUCCUCUGACGUUAGCGGCGGACGGGUUAGUAACACGUGGAUAACCUACCUAUAAGACUGUGAUAACUUCGGGAAACCGGAGCUAAUACCGGAUAAUAUAUUGAACCGCAUGGUUCAAUAGUUAAAGACGGUUUUGCUGUCACUUAUAGAUGGAUCCGCGCCGCAUUAGCUAGUUGGUAAGGUAACGGCUUACCAAGGCAACGAUGCGUAGCCGACCUGAGAGGGUGAUCGGACACACUGGAACUGAGACACGGUCCAGACUCCUACGGGAGGAAGCAGUAGGGAAUCUUCCGCAAUGGGCGAAAGCUUGACGGAGCAAAGCCGCGUGAGUGAUGAAGGUCUUCGGAUCGUAAAACUCUGUUAUUAGGGAAGAACAAAUGUGUAAGUAACUAUGCACGUAUUGACGGUACCUAAUCAGAAAGCCACGGCUAACUACGUG
rnacentral:rRNA from 1 species